rnacentral:rRNA from 1 species
UGGGGAAUUUUCCGCAAUGGGCGAAAGCCCGACGGAGCAAUACCGCGUGAGGGAUGAAAGCCUGUGGGUUGUAAACCUCUUUUCUCAAGGAAGAAGUUCUGACGGUACUUGAGGAAUAAGCAUCGGCUAACUCU